rnacentral:rRNA from 1 species
AAAUGCCCUGCUUCCAGGAAAAGCCUCUAAGCAUCAGGUAACAUCAAAUCGUACCCCAAACCGACACAGGUGGUCAGGUAGAGAAUACCAAGGCGCUUGAGAGAACUCGGGUGAAGGAACUAGGCAAAAUGGUGCCGUAACUUCGGGAGAAGGCACGCUGAUAUGUAGGUGAAGUCCCUCGCGGAUGGAGCUGAAAUCAGUCGAAGAUACCAGCUGGCUGCAACUGUUUAUUAAAAACACAGCACUGUGCAAACACGAAAGUGGACGUAUACGGUGUGACGCCUGCCCGGUGCCGGAAGGUUAAUUGAUGGGGUCAGCGCAAGCGAAGCUCUUGAUCGAAGCCCCGGUAAACGGCGGCCGUAACUAUAACGGUCCUAAGGUAGCGAAAUUCCUUGUCGGGUAAGUUCCGACCUGCACGAAUGGCGUAAUGAUGGCCAGGCUGUCUCCACCCGAGACUCAGUGAAAUUGAACUCGCUGUGAAGAUGCAGUGUACCCGCGGCAAGACGGAAAGACCCCGUGAACCUUUACUAUAGCUUGACACUGAACAUUGAGCCUUGAUGUGUAGGAUAGGUGGGAGGCUUUGAAGUGUGGACGCCAGUCUGCAUGGAGCCGACCUUGAAAUACCACCCUUUAAUGUUUGAUGUUCUAACGUGGACCCGUGAUCCGGGUUGCGGACAGUGUCUGGUGGGUAGUUUGACUGGGGCGGUCUCCUCCUAAAGAGUAACGGAGGAGCACGAAGGUUGGCUAAUCCUGGUCGGACAUCAGGAGGUUAGUGCAAUGGCAUAAGCCAGCUUGACUGCGAGCGUGACGGCGCGAGCAGGUGCGAAAGCAGGUCAUAGUGAUCCGGUGGUUCUGAAUGGAAGGGCCAUCGCUCAACGGAUAAAAGGUACUCCGGGGAUAACAGGCUGAUACCGCCCAAGAGUUCAUAUCGACGGCGGUGUUUGGCACCUCGAUGUCGGCUCAUCACAUCCUGGGGCUGAAGUAGGUCCCAAGGGUAUGGCUGUUCGCCAUUUAAAGUGGUACGCGAGCUGGGUUUAGAACGUCGUGAGACAGUUCGGUCCCUAUCUGCCGUGGGCGCUGGAGAACUGAGGGGGGCUGCUCCUAGUACGAGAGGACCGGAGUGGACGCAUCACUGGUGUUCGGGUUGUCAUGCCAAUGGCACUGCCCGGUAGCUAAAUGCGGAAGAGAUAAGUGCUGAAAGCAUCUAAGCACGAAACUUGCCCCGAGAUGAGUUCUCCCUGACCCUUUAAGGGUCCUGAAGGAACGUUGAAGACGACGACGUUGAUAGGCCGGGUGUGUAAGCGCAGCGAUGCGUUGAGCUAACCGGUACUAAUGAACCGUGAGGCUUAACCUUACAACGCCGAAGGUGUUU